AUAGCCUUACAUGAACAAGAUCUGUUCUAUAGGCUCGUACAUCUGUAUCCUUAAGUUCUAAGGAGACAGGAACCAAAGUCUAGUUGAUGAACAAUGACUGUGAGAUCAGAGCGUGAUUAAUAGUUCAGAUGCAUGCCUUGAAUGGUGGAGGAGCGUGAUUAAUAGUUCAGAUGCAUGCCUUGAAUGGUGGAGGAUCGUUCUUGAUUUUUUCGCCAAAGCAGAAACA